GAUAUUUGCUAUGCCUUGGGAACACUGCCUUUUCCAAAGAGGAAUUUUUAUCAAUUCAGUGAGUCUUUUUGUACUUAUGUAAAUAAUCAUAUUUCAUAAAUAAAAUAGGAUUCUAGUUUCUCAGCCUUUGUCUAAAGACUACAUAUUUUUGUAUCAUAAACUGGAAGUAUGUAUAAAUGAUAUACUCAUAAAUCACUCCUACCCAGAAUGUCAGCUUUUACAGUACCUUUAACAGAUAAUUUGAUGAUAAAUCUCAAAAACUUAAAUAUAUUC
rnacentral:lncRNA from 1 species